rnacentral:tRNA from 1 species
GCGCCCUUAGCUCAGCCUGGUAGAGCAACUGCCUUUUAAGCAGAUGGUCGCAGGUCCGAAUCCUGCAGGGCGCACCA